ACGAGACUGGAUUAUAUGGUAG
rnacentral:siRNA from 1 species